rnacentral:tRNA from 1 species
UAGGGUAGAGUUCAGUGGUAGGGCACGUGCUUAUCAUGUACGAGGUCCUGGGUUCAAACCCCAGUACCUCAU